CCGCCCCCGCCCCUCUGCCGCCGUGGGGCGCGCGCCGCUGGGGGCGGAGCCGUCAGAGCGGGCGCGCGCCCGCGCCCCGGGGCGAGCGGCGGGGACGCCCAGUGGGCGCCGCGCGAGUGCACGAGGGCCCCCCCGGGGCGCGGUGGCGCGUGCGCACGAAGGUCUUGCGGCCUCCCGCGGAAGGAGCGGAGGGUGCUUGAGGGGCGGGCCCAGUGACCGGCGCUGGGAGUAAGGGUCAGCGGCGCAGAGGAGGUUUUAUUAUUUUAAGUAAUCUUCGUAGCCAACGUGGGGCUCAAGCUCACGAUCCUGAGAUCAAGAGUCACUCCACCAACUGAGCCAGCGAGGUGCCCUUAGUUCCAGUUCUUAAUGACCAUGAAACACAGGGGCUUGGAAGUUGGCACUCAAAAACGGCUGGCUCCAGAAGACCUGAAGCUCCCACAAGGUUCAGGAAGGUAUGGAAUAUUUGAACAGAGCCUCACUCGUCCACCCACAUACCUGCUGGUGACGAUAGAUGCCAUACACUGCAGGAGGGACUGGCACAUUGACGCUGUCAAAGACCAGUUUACUUCCAGACUUGCUGCUGUAGAGAUGAGCCAGUUCAGGCUCUGGACCCAGGAUGGGGAUGCCUAACAUAUCCGCCACGGCCAAAUCAUCUCUGUGGAGGAACCCGCCGACAAUGUAGGCCUCUUUUCCUUGGAUGAGAUUUUUUAUUCUUUUGAUCGCCUUGGGACUGUACAUCAGAUGCAAACCCACAAAGAUGCAAACCCACACUACGAAUGUGACUCAGCGCAUCGGUUAGUGCCAACUGCCUAUCUCUUGCUUAGAAGCUGAAGAGUGGUCUGCAGUGCAUAUGUCUCAGGUAACAACAGGAUUGCAGAGCUGGGAAGGGCUUUGAAAUGCCCUAGCCAUCACCUGAUUGUAUGGACGAAGCUCAGAGGACCAGAAAGGUAAAGGGAGCUGCCCAAGCCACAGGGUCAUCCAGGAGCAAAGCAAUCAUUCCAGUUCCUGAUACUGUUCUGGGCUCACACACAUUUUGGCUCACACUUUGAGCCCACCAGUAACUUUGGACCAGAACAGGAGACUUGGUUUCCUCAGCCAUAGAAAGAGAUUGGUCAUUUCUGUCAUGUUGCAUUGUUCUGAGGACCAAAUGAGAAAAUGUGUGCUAAGCAUUUGAUAAAUAUUAGUUGUGCACUCACUUUCCUUCUCCCAAACUAGUGCUCCUUUCCUAGUCCAUGCCCCUUCGAUGUACAUGGACAUUUCAGAUGUACAGAAACUCCUUAGCAGCAGCUACCAGGCAUUAGCUCCAGUUUCUGGCUGGAUAAAAUCAGGAAAUGAACUACACACUAACGAUGGUUUUGUCUUCCCUGCUUUCUAAUGUCCACAGUGACCCUGCCAUUGAGGCCAGGGCUUAGCUAGCAAGCACCAAGCAAUCCUUGCACUGAUGGAGGAUAUUGGGUUCCUAAUAGCAUAGGAUCUUCUUCACUCGGGUCUUAUGGCAAUGUAAGAGCCACGCGAUGGCAAUCACACCUGAAGCCCACUUCUGCUGGCGAUAAAUGAAGAAAAUUUGUCUCGCUUUGAAGCAUUUCCAUGUGGCUUGGAUCUUGAUGGCAGCCUCUGACUUUCCAUCUUGGCCCUUGUACCUUUGGCCCGGAAGAUUUAACAUCAUUUGGAUGUGAACUGGGUUCUCUACCAGUGAGAGAAAGUCAUAUCUGAGACUCAUGUGGAAUUGGGACCAUCGAUGAAAAUGGAGCAACCUUGGGAGAAGAUUCUGAAAGAAGAGGACUCCAGUCUCUCUCAGGCAGUGCCUUCAAAUGGUGUAGGUGUGGGGCGUGUAUGUACGUCAGCAAAUGAGUUUCAUACCUUUGGAAAGAAUAGCCCUGGUUUGGGAAUGGGGUUACAGAUUUGAACAGUGGCUGUUUGAGAACAAAGGGAUUAUACCUCCCUACCUUCUUGGAUGAUAUUCCAGUAAAGACCUGUUCUCCAAGGAAACACACUCUUGGACAUCAAAUAGACCACUCAGGCACGGGGAAGCUAUGGGUUUGGAGUCAGCUAAAGCAUAACUGUAGUACAUCUGUCACAGAGAAUGCCACACUUGGGAGCACUUCACACUUAGAGCUGGAAAAGACAUGUCUCUCAAGAGGAAGGCUUCCCAAAUUAAAGCAGUGCAUCAGCAUUGUGGGAUCCAUUGAGCAGGGCAAGACAAGAAAGGAGAUAGGUUUGUGCUGGGCACAAAACCCACCAGGGAGGCACGCUGCACUCUUCAAGAAGUAGGCUUAUUUGGGGGAGCCUGGGUGGCUCAGUCAGUUAAGCAUCUAACUUCUGCUCAGGACAUGAUCUCACAGUCGCAAGAGAGUUCAAGAAGAAGUUGGGAAGUCCAUCCUUCAUUUUCCAAGACAACUCUCUCUUCUGGAUGCUGUUAAUCUUUCACCUCGUGCUGGACAUGUGCGGAUCUGAGGUGAAGCUUAAAUGGCAGAAUAAAACACCCUGAUUUUAGCUGAGCAUAUGGCUAUCCAGUCACAGACUACAUUUUCCAGUGUGGCUAAGUGUGGACAUGUGACCAAAAAUCAGACCAGUAAGACGUAGGCAGCGGUGCCCCAGGGGUUUUGGAUCAUUUCAGUAGAAGCCUGAAGACUUCACUUCUCUCUGGAAGAAUCAGACAUUGUUUGCUCUCCAAUUUCACCUCUUUCUUCCACGUCCCCUUGUCCAAAGAGAAAAAAAGCAUCAUUUAACAUAGGGACAGUCCGGGCCUCACUUUCUGUCAGAAAAACUCUCCAGCAUUCUUGGAGCUAGAAGAACUCCCUGGAAAGGUAUCUAUAGCAGAAGAGCAAAAACCAUGGGCUUGGAGCACUGGAUUUCAGUCCUACCUCUGUCAUUUAAUCAGCAGUGUGCUGGGGUCGUGUUGGUCAGAAAAGGGAAAGGAAGGGAACCAAAGGGAAUCGAUUUUGCUCAGAAUCAGAAUCCUGGGCUGUCGGAACUAGAAGAAAUCUUAGGGAUGGUGUGAUCAACGCCCUAAAUUUACAACUGAACAAACUAAGGCCCAAGGAAUCUGUAAGUGAAGCAACAGGCCGACCCUGCACUGCCAGAUGGAACGUGUGCAGCACAUUUCCAACCAGGCUGUUUCCCGGAGAUUCCCCAUCUAGCAAGAUUCACACCAGGCAGUCGGACCCAGACUCACUACACUCAGAGCUAGCAGGUGCUUGGAGUUCAGCGUAGGGUUGGUCUGGAAAUGCAUGCAGGAUCUCAGCACAGAAACUCAGGAAACACGCAAGAAACCCUCAAGAAGUUGGAGAACUCACUACCGCUGGAUUUUUGAUGAACGAUAUCCGAUGCAAGCAUAGCCUCUGAUGGCUUCUUCCCACCCCAGAGCCGUCGUGGGCUUUUGUGAGAGCCAGAAAGCAGCCGAUGAUAACUCUAUCAUCACUUCCUUCAGCUUUUCCAGUACUCCAAACCCAGGCAGAACUAAAAUUCUAGACGGCAGCCACAUACGAAGGCGAUGCACCACCCUUCCACCCACCACCGCCACCGCCAUAUUGGUGGGAUAUAUUUUAGGAAAUCAGGAGGAAGGAACACGAGAAGUCAUUGUUUUCUUGAGAACUCUAAGCAACCUGAUGAGAAAGCGCUCUCUAACGACAGAGGUGGGGAUGCUGUGCAUGCCAUCACAGUCCUUGGGUAAUGACUGUGUGUCAUAAAUGGGAUAUGGCAUUUCUGAAUGUCUUUAAAGCUAUUUCCUUUUGUUCCACUAAUUUAAUUUACCAAAUGCUCCUGGGAAAAGGGAGGGGGACCAAGAUGCUGACUCCACAUUUCCUGAAAAAUCAACAUUUUCUUUUUAAGCCGCUCUCAAGGAAAUUACGUCUGAUUGUUGUCGGCUGGCUCCCUCAAACUCUACCUCUGUCAGAAUUCUGACCCGGCAGGUGUGAGGAAGAAAUAGAUGCAGAACUUGAGUGAAUACCCACAUCUGUUUUUGGAAAAAAGGAACAGAAGCAGCACAGAAGGAAGUAAAAGAGAUAAUUGCUGGCUUGAACUACAAUACAUUUUACUUGUGGGCAGAGGGCCAGCUUACAGCAGGCUGAAUAUGCAGGCCCAUCUUAUUGGAAUUCAGCGGUGGGCCUCCAUUCUUGUCCGGAGACAGCUGUAAACCAGCAGCCCAUAGCAUCACAAUCAGGCACCGAGUUUUGUCAAGGAAUGCUGAUAUGUACGGAAGCAGCUUUGUCUGCUUCAACUGCACCCCUGCCUAGUGAAAUGACAGUCAAUCUCUGAUUCCAGAUGACAAGAACUGGAUAAAAACUUAAAACAAAUGGCGACCUUUCAAAAGAUUAAUUUGUUUACCAACAAAAUGUCCCCUCUUUGUCAUCUGAGAUGGGGGUGACCUUCACUUUCCCGUAUCUAGGCUGAAAGGAUGCUGACUAUAGUCAUCUGUUAACUCCAUCUCAGCAAUUAUUCCCUUUUUUAUUUUUAGUGACAAGAAGGGUUUAUUAAUUCACUCUGCUUCUUGUUAUGGUUUAUAAAUGCAACAAGCUCAUUCUGAAUUACUGCAGUGUAACAUCAAUUUGUUUAAAUCUAAUUCUGCUACCAUUGCCAAAUUACGUUGUGACUGUAAUUGUGGCCAUAUGCAUGGGCUUAAAACACAAUCAUGUUUUGAAAUCGGCCUUCUUCCCCCCACCUCCCCGAGCACCCCUCCCCCCUACUUCUGGUGCUUCUAAUCAUUUGACAUUAACACAAUUGCCUCGCUUUCCAUUACUUUAUCAUUUCCGAAAUGAAUGUACUUUCACGAGAGAGAUUACUAUGUACACCCCAAGUAAAACAGUAAAGAAUGAAACUAUGAUUUGUGAAGUGUGGUUGCUACCCAACUAAGUUAGUGAACAACACUGCAUAACGGAUGACUCAUAAAAUCGGGAAAUCAUAAUAGUAUUAAAUUCAACCUCAUGAAUAAAUAAAAGAUUCUAAGUUUACAUUGCAUUAUAUAUUUAUUUAUUUGGAAAGUGGGACCAGAACUGGUAUAAUUCUACAGCAACUUAUAUGUUGCCACCAAGAAAAAUGUUUUUAUGCUUCUUUUCUAGGUCAUAACAGUUAUCAUCAGAGUUAUUUGUGCAGCAGUACAAAGCAAUGUUUUGUUUGGCUAUUUUGUUAUGCAUUCAUAAUCGUUCUUUUAAAAUUCAUGCUAACAGAGACAUGUUUCAAGCCUUGUAAGAAACCCCUUUUAUUUAAAACAAAUAAAUCAAAGUCAAAUUUUC